UGAUCUCAAAUCAGGUAGGAUUACCCGCUGAACUUAAGCAUAUCAAUAAGCGGAGGAAAAGAAACUAACAAGGAUUCCCCUAGUAACGGCGAGUGAAGCGGGAAGAGCUCAAAUUUAAAAUCUGUAAGGUUCAACCUUGCCGAAUUGUAGUUUGAAGAAGUGUUUUCCGCGGCGGCUGCAGUACAAAUCCUUUGGAACAGGGUAUCAGAGAGGGUGAGAAUCCCGUCUUUGACUGCAGACUAGUUGCACUGUGAUACACUUUCUAAGAGUCGAGUUGUUUGGGAAUGCAGCUCAAAAUGGGUGGUAAAUUUCAUCUAAAGCUAAAUAUUGGCAAGAGACCGAUAGCGAACAAGUACCGUGAGGGAAAGAUGAAAAGAACUUUGAAAAGAGAGUUAAAUAGUACGUGAAAUUGUUAAAAGGGAAACGCUUGAAGUCAGUGUUGCCGGCUGAAAAUCAGCUUCCUGCGGAUGGCUUGCUGCGGUGGAGGGAGUGUUAAAACCCCUUGCUGUAGUACAGCUAGCCGGAGGGAGUG
rfam:Basidiobolus meristosporus CBS 931.73 K493scaffold_829, whole genome shotgun sequence.